AACAAAGGGAAGCGAGCGUGUGAGCGUAAGCAAAUCCCAAAAAUAACGUCUCAGUUCGGAUUGUAGUCUGCAACUCGACUACAUGAAGCUGGAAUCGCUAGUAAUCGCGAAUCAGAAUGUCGCGGUGAAUACGUUCCCGGGUCUUGUACACACCGCCCGUCACACCAUGGGAGUCAGUAACGCCCGAAGUCAGUGACCCAACCAUAAAGGAGGGAGCUGCCGAAGGUGGGACCGAUAACUGGGGUGAAGUCGUAACAAGGUACC
rnacentral:rRNA from 1 species